rnacentral:rRNA from 1 species
CCUACGGGAGGCAGCAGUGGGGAAUUUUGGACAAUGGGCGAAAGCCUGAUCCAGCAAUGCCGCGUGAGUGAAGAAGGCCUUCGGGUUGUAAAGCUCUUUUGUCAGGGAAGAAACGGUGAGAGCUAAUAUCUCUUGCUAAUGACGGUACCUGAAGAAUAAGCACCGGCUAACUACGUGCCAGCAGCCGCGGUAAUACGUAGGGUGCAAGCGUUAAUCGGAAUUACUGGGCGUAAAGCGUGCGCAGGCGGUUUUGUAAGUCUGAUGUGAAAUCCCCGGGCUCAACCUGGGAAUUGCAUUGGAGACUGCAAGGCUAGAAUCUGGCAGAGGGGGGUAGAAUUCCACGUGUAGCAGUGAAAUGCGUAGAUAUGUGGAGGAACACCGAUGGCGAAGGCAGCCCCCUGGGUCAAGAUUGACGCUCAUGCACGAAAGCGUGGGGAGCAAACAGGAUUAGAUACCCUGGUAGUCCACGCCCUAAACGAUGUCUACUAGUUGUCGGGUCUUAAUUGACUUGGUAACGCAGCUAACGCGUGAAGUAGACCGCCUGGGGAGUACGGUCGCGAAGAUUAAAACGUCAAAGGAAUUGACGG